GUGCCAGCCGCCGCGGUAAUACGUAGGGUGCGAGCGUUGUCCGGAAUUAUUGGGCGUAAAGGGCUCGUAGGCGGUUCGUCGCGUCGGGAGUGAAAUUCCACGGCUUAACCGUGGGCGUGCUUUCGAUACGGGCGGACUGGAGGUAGGCAGGGGAGAACGGAAUUCCUGGUGUAGCGGUGGAAUGCGCAGAUAUCAGGAGGAACACCGGUGGCGAAGGCGGUUCUCUGGGCCUUACCUGACGCUGAGGAGCGAAAGCGUGGGGAGCGAACAGGAUUAGAUACCCUUGUAGUCC
rnacentral:rRNA from 1 species